AUAAUGAUACUUCUGCAUAGCCACAGACUCAAGCAAUGGGUGCAGUUUUGUGAGAACCACAAGAGGGUGAGAUUCCCAUG
rnacentral:ncRNA from 1 species